UCUAAAGUGCAGAAAUCCACACCAAGCUGUAGAAGCCUUGUUCCUUAUGUGACACGAGAGCAGACGUCAUCGCCACGAGCAGUGUAAAGUCCUGGGGGAGCCGAUCUCUUAUCUCUUAUCAAGCAGCCAUGAAUAGUUUUGGAUCAGUGAAGGACUCAGGACCUUGCGCUGCCCAGCCUUCGCACACGCUGGAGGCUGGAGGUUUUCUCCUCUUUAUGGCUGCUGGUGAAAAGAUCCCAUUAAGGUGCACAAGCAAUGUGUUGCUUCCAGCAGCCGAGCCUGGCCGCGCUGAUGCCAGGAGCAAGCUCCGUGCUCAAAGCCCAGCACCCAACGAUGAGUGUCUCGAUCGCUCACCAUUACUGCACAACAGAUUUACAAAGUAUUGCUUUGUAGUAAUGCAUUAAAAAUGGGCUAUGGGGAUAUGAAUUGUGAAAUGGGAUCCUAAUCUGUUUUCUGUCCCCAGGUUUCACACCUGUGUGCGCUUCUCUCUGUGUUGAGGUCCUCGAUGCAAGAAUUGGGUGAAAAGCAGGCACUAAGGGGAGCGAACUGAGUGUUCGGAAGGUGAAACUGCAGCUCCGGGUGGCUUGGGAGAAGCAACGAAGAGGCUGUUAAUUGGGGAUAUCCCAAUUAGAGGAUCUCAGGGUCAGGAAACAGACUGCAAUUGCAGAGCUGAUGCUGCAGUGGACCUCAGGAGCAACCCUCAGCCCUGUGGCAGGCAGGAGGGUGCCCUGCUGGAAAAGCAGCCGCUUGUCCCCAAGGGUUAGGGGCAGGGCCAGGAGGGGCAGGUCAUUAAAAUCCAGCGCUAGCUGGAUUGUCCUCCAGAGGCAGGGAAAACUGUAGGCAGAACAAAAGACGCAGCUCAUGAAGGUGGCUUAUAAAUAAUUACCAUUACAAGCUUUAAAUAGCCUUGAGUUUCUCAGAAGGACGAGGCUCAGGGGCAGGGCUGGGCCCUUCCCAUCAAUGCCAGCACGGGCUGGUGGCCCCAUCGCUGCCGACAGCGGAGCAAGAAAUUGUAGGCGAUGCCCGUGCUUGGAAAAGCGCGGGGAAACCUCGGGGCAGGCUGGCUGCUCCUGCACGCCCGGCUCAAUUCCUGCCCCGCCUGGCUGGAAUUUCUCAUCCCCCAUCCCAUCCAUCACGGUUUUGUUCCUGUAAACUUAAAAGGAGUCGGAUUACUUCUGAACCGAUCCCCAAUGAAUUACCCCUGGUGAACAUCGUGCAAAGCAGCGAUUUUUUAUCUCGUUCCCACUCGUGUGAGCGGUACCCUGCUGAUGGAAACCUUUGCCUACAGGCAGUGUAUUUCAGCGGUGAUGGUGGAUGAGUCUUCUGCUGCCCAUAAAAGCCAGAGAAACGCAGAGAUAUUGCUUGUGUUUUCCCAUUUUCUUUCUUUUUAUAGUUGUCUGCAUC
ensembl:lncRNA